UUGAAAGGGAAACGAUUGAAGUCAGUCGUGCUGGCGCGAAAUCAACCAUCUCGUCUUGGGGUCACAUGGCGCGACGAGCCUCAAAACCGUCACGAAGCGUGAACUCUUGAUGAAAAGGAGCACUUUCGUGUCCGCUGGUUAACAUCAAUUUCGAACGUCAUAAAAAGGCUGGAGGGAUGUGGCUCCUUCGGGAGUGUUAUAACCUUUAGCGGAAUGUGGUGGUCGGGAUUGAGGAUUGCAACGAAUACCUUCAGGGCUGUUCCACCUGGCUUCUCAUUGGUAUCCUGGUGACGACAGCUUGCUGACUUCGUUAGGAUUCGCCUCUGAACAGGCUAGAGUGUGAGCAAAUUCGUUAAGGAUGUUGACGUA
rnacentral:rRNA from 1 species